rnacentral:rRNA from 1 species
CAGAGUUUGAUCCUGGCUCAGGACGAACGCUGGCGGCGUGCUUAACACAUGCAAGUCGAGCGGAAAGGCCCUUCGGGGUACUCGAGCGGCGAACGGGUGAGUAACACGUGAGCAACCUGCCCCUGACUCUGGGAUAAGCCCGGGAAACUGGGUCUAAUACCGGAUACGACCGCCUCCGGCAUCGGAUGGUGGUGGAAAGUUUUUCGGUUGGGGAUGGGCUCGCGGCCUAUCAGCUUGUUGGUGGGGUAGUGGCCUACCAAGGCGACGACGGGUAGCCGGCCUGAGAGGGCGACCGGCCACACUGGGACUGAGACACGGCCCAGACUCCUACGGGAGGCAGCAGUGGGGAAUAUUGCGCAAUGGGCGAAAGCCUGACGCAGCGACGCCGCGUGGGGGAUGACGGCCUUCGGGUUGUAAACCUCUUUCAGCAGGGACGAAGUUGACGUGUACCUGCAGAAGAAGCGCCGGCUAACUACGUGCCAGCAGCCGCGGUAAUACGUAGGGCGCAAGCGUUGUCCGGAAUUAUUGGGCGUAAAGAG